rfam:Candidatus Atribacteria bacterium RBG_19FT_COMBO_35_14 rbg_19ft_combo_scaffold_254, whole genome shotgun sequence.
GGGCCGUUAGCUCAGUUGGUAGAGCAUCUGACUCUUAAUCAGGGGGUCGCAGGUUCGAAACCUGCACGGCCCA